CGGCCGUUUGCUCCUCCCUCCACACCCGCCCAGCUCACUAACACGGCCAUGGCGCUGACGGCGGCGGGCAGCUCGCUCCGGACUCUGCUCCUCCGAAACUCGGCCAACUUCACCAGGAACGCGGGUUUAAACCCUCGCGGUGUGAAGGGGUCGGCGCUGAGUCGCAGUGCCGUCACCUCCGGCUCGGGUGCCAUCCUGCCUAACCCGCCCAAGACCUCAUUUGGUCUGACGCGUGUGACGGUGGUGGUGGUCCCGUUCCUGUACCUUGGCACCUGCAUUAGCAAGAAUUUUGCUGCUGUCCUGGAAGAGCACGAAAUCUUCGUCCCUGAUGAUGACGACGAUGACUGAGCACCACGGUCAGUAAUGAUGGCCUCAUCUGGACUUUCUAAUAGAAUACUCCAGUCUGAAGAACAAAUGAAGAGGUGCUCGCAUUGGAGAAGACAACGCUAAAGAGGGAUCAAUGCAAUAAUGUGUCAACCCCUUCACCUGUUUACAGCCCAGCAGCCAAAGUUCGCUUUUAUUUUUGUUUUCUAAUCUUAAAUGUUAGGCAACCCCUGCUCAGCCUCACUCGUGCUCGCAUGUACAGUUUUGUUUUGAUGAAAUAAAACGUCCUGACUGUU